GUAAGUUUCCUGUUUGUGUGUCAGGUAGUCCCCCCCAAGCCCAGCUCUCUUUGGUUUCUUCUUUUUGCCAGCACCAAGGAGGUCAGAGGUUGAUUUGUGGGGUGUACCCAAGGCCCUAGAACACUUUCAAGUCCAGGAAAAUUUCUCAUUUAAGCCAAGUUCAUCCCUUCCCAGGGUGAGAAGUCAGUAGUUCCAAGUCUCCAUGCAGAAUGGGAUGGCAUCCAGCAGUCUGCUGGGAACUGAUUGCCUGCUCUCUGCACCGGCAUUCCACGUCCACUCCUCCAUUUAGAACCUCCAGACACAUUCAUCUUCAACUCUCGCGGUUU